CGCACAUUGCGCCCUUUGGUAUUCCUUAGGGCAUGCCUGUUCGAGCGUCAUUUCAACCCUCAAGCCCCCUGGCUUGGUGUUGGGCGUUUGUCCUCCCCCCGGGACUCGCCUCAAAAGCAUUGGCAGCUGGUACGUUGGCUUCGAGCGCAGCACAAUCGCGCCCGGCGUCCGACGGUGCCCGGCUCUCCAGCAAGACACCCCCCCAUUUUGACCUCGGAUCAGGUAGGGAUACCCGCUGAACUUAA
rnacentral:misc_RNA from 1 species